AUUGAACGCUGGCGGCAGGCCUAACACAUGCAAGUCGAACGAGUGGCGGACGGGUGAGUAAUGUCUGGGAAACUGCCUGAUGGAGGGGGAUAAAUACUGGAAACGGUCGCUAAUACCGCAUACCAUCAGAUGUGCCCAGAUGGGAUGAGCUUGUUGGUGGGGUAACGGCGUACAAGGGCGACGAUCCCUAGCUGGUCUGAGAGGAUGACCAGCCACACUGGAACUGAGACACGGUCCAGACGCCUACGGGAGGCAGCAGUGGGGAAUAUUGCACAAUGGGCGCAAGCCUGAUGCAGCCAUGCCGCGUGUAUGAAGAAGGCCUUCGGGUUGUAAAGUACUUUCAGCGGGGAGGCGUUACCCGCAGAAGAAGCACCGGCUAACUCCGUGCCAGCAGCCGCGGUAAUUC
rnacentral:rRNA from 1 species